CAGCCGCCGCGGUAAUACGAAGGGGGCUAACGUUGCUCGGAAUGACUGGGCGUAAAGGGCGCGUAGGCGGUCACGAUAGUCAGAUGUGAAAUUCCUGGGCUUAACCUGGGGACUGCAUUUGGUACUGUGUGGCUUGAGCGUGGAAGAGGGUCGUGGAAUUCCCAGUGUAGAGGUGAAAUUCGUAGAUAUUGGGAAGAACACCGGUGGCGAAGGCGGCGACCUGGUCCAUAACUGACGCUGAGGCGCGAAAGCGUGGGGAGCAAACAGGAUUAGAUACCCCCGUAGUCCCUGUCUCUUAUAA
rnacentral:rRNA from 1 species